GAAGCCUGCUGUAAGCUGCCGCGCGCAAGAGGGCGAGGGGGUGGGAUCCGCCUUAGGAAAGAGUCUUCAAGUCGCAAAGUGCGAGUCGCUGCGCCCACCGCCUGGACGUCCUUGGGCUCCCAGAACGAGUGGCUGAAGGAGAGCGGAAAGAAAGCGCCUACCACUCCCAGAGCGCUUCGCGCGACGAUCCCGCCCUCACAGCCUGAGAGGCCCAACCCUUGGCCUCGGCCCUGUUGCCCUUCACCGUGGCUUCGGCCGCUGGGGGCCUGAGUCCCCCAGUUCUCACACUUUACAAUGACUUGAGCAGCUUAACCUUUCUCCUUUCCCAUCUGCAGACCAGAACUCGUGCACCUUCAGUCCGAAGGUUACCUCUGCCUCCGCGGCGUCAACUGCCCCCCUCUCCUGACCGGAACUUGCCCGGCUGACAAAUCCAGAGAUUUUGAAGGUCUGUAGAUGUGCUUGCCCUAAAACGCCUUUUCCUCCCAGUCAGGUUUUAUGCUUGUCUGGUUUCUAUAAAGUUCCUGGUUUUCAAAUUGAAUAUGCAACUCCGCCUCCGAUUGCCAAACUCGUAACACAUGCAAGUGUGGCAAAAGAAUAGGGAUGUGUAGAGAGACGUCAAGAAUAAGGUAUGAGGGGGCUGCGGAGAUUGUUCAGUACUUAAGAGCACUAACGGCUCUUUCAGGGGACUGUGGAUCAGUUUCUGGCACGUGGUAGCUAACAACAGUCAGCUAUUGCAGUAACGUCUGACGCCCUCUUCUGGCCUUACGACCACAGCACACGUGUAGUGCACAAAACACCCAGACACAAUCAAUCAAUCAAUCAAUGCCAGUUGAUAGUGCCUGGGAUCCCUUCCUUGCCUGGAUUACUCAAUAACAAACAGCAUGCAAGAGAAAAACUUGGCCUGGAGAAGGCAGGUAAUGGCUAAGGACUUCAGGUUAUGCAUUCUUCCAGAUCACUAGCCCAUUCCCUACCUGAGUGUCUUUGUAAAUUUUUUUUUUUUAAGUAAAUUGCCUCUAUUGCUAACUAUGCAUCUCUGAUACAAUUCUUUGUCCUGAGACACAAGAACCUAGGAACUUAUGUAGGUGGUCCCUGUGACUCAGCCAGGAGGUAAAAAUCUAUGUUUUCUCUCCCAUUUCCCCCUUCCUUAACUACACUCUACUACCCAGGAACAUCUGUGAGAAAGCUCUCAGCUCUUUAGGAACCUGAUAAAAGUGCAGGGGUGACGGGCAGUGGUGGCGCACGCCUUUAAUCCCAGCACUUGGGAGGCAGAGGCAGGUGGAUUUCUGAGUUCGAGGCCAGCCUGGUCUACAGAGUGAGUUCCAGGACAGCCACGGCUACAGAGAAACCCUGUCUCAAACAAACAAACAAAACAAAACAAAACAAAAAAGGUGCAGGGGCGUGUUCUCUUUCCCAUUACCCUAUAGCCACUGCCUAGGGGAUGUCUGAACCCUUUUCUCAGCCCUACUGCAGUAUGAGCAAAAAACAAUGUGUACUGACCAGGGACUGCCAAGCCCACAUUUAAGCUGGGAAGCAGCUAGCCAGGAGGGUCUGCCUUUACUGGGAGUCCUCAAGGAUCUAGUGUUCUGGUGCCAAGUCAGAGACAUGGUGGAUCCCACCGGGGAUCUAUGUCCCUGUCUUAGAUUUAUUUCUUGUUGCUGUGAUAAAAAUACACAAGCCACUUAAGGGAGAAGAGGAUUUAUUUGGCCUACACUUCAGGUCAUAGUCUGCGGUGGUUUUAAUAACGGUCCCCAUAGGCGCAUAUAUUUAAAUGUUUGAUUCCCAAUUGUACUGUUUAGGAAGAAUGAGGAGGUCUGGCUUUUAUUGUUGAAGGUGAGUCACCGGGAAUGGGUUUGAGGUUUCAAAAGCCCAUGCCAGGCCCUGUUCUUCUUUCUGCCUGGUGAUUGUUUCAAAAUAUAAGCUCUUGGUGACUACUCCAACACCUGCCUGUCUGCAGCCAUACUCCCCACCAUAAUGGUCAUGAAUUCACCCUCUGAAAGUGCAAACAAGCCUCUAAUCAAAUGCUUUCUUUUCUGAGUUUAACUGUUCAUGGUGUCUGAUCACCUCAAUAGAAACAUAACUGACAGUCAUGACAUCAUGGCAGGGAAGUCAGAGCAGUAGGAAUGUGAGAGCGCUGUCACUACAUCCACAGUAAAGAGCACAGGUUGGGCUGGAGAGAUAGCUCAGCGGUUAAGAGCAUUGACCGCUCUUCCAGAGGUCCUAAGUUCAAUUCCCAGCAACUACAUGGUGGCUCACAACCAUCUGUAAAGGGAUCUGAUGCCCUCUUCUGGUGUGUCUGGAAACAGCUACAGUGUAUUCAUAUAAAUAAAACAAAUCUUUUAAAAAAGA
rnacentral:lncRNA from 1 species